GAGUGCCCCGAGCGUUAUCCGGAAUUAUUGGGCGUAAAGGGUGUGUAGGUGGUUUUGUUAGUCUUUUGUUAAAGACCUGGGCUCAACCCGGGGAGUGCAAAGGAAACGGCAAAACUAGAGAGUGUGAGGGGUGAAUGGAACUCAUAGUGUAGGGGUGAAAUCCGUUGAUAUUAUGGGGAACACCAAAAGCGAAGGCAAUUCACUGGCGCAUUUCUGACACUGAAACACGAAAGCGUGGGUAGCGAAUGGGAUUAGAUACCCCAGUAGUCCACGCCCUAAACGAUGUUCUCUAGCUUUUUGGAGUAUCGACCCUCUAAGAGGCGAASSUAACGCGUUAAGAGAACCGCCUGGGUAGUACGGCCGCAAGGCUA
rnacentral:rRNA from 1 species